rnacentral:lncRNA from 1 species
UCAAGGUGCACUGCAACUCCACAGGUGAGAGCUGGAUCCACAUCCCACCAUCACUCCUGUGCUGAACAAAACAACUUCUGAGUGUUAUUUUGUGACGAGUGUUUAUUGCCUGUGAGACCCUCAGAACAGGGUGCUGCCAGGAAGAGCUCUACAACAAAGCUGUGGAACAGCUCUAAGCAGGGUUUUCUUCUGUUCAUCACUUUGGUACCCAAUCCAUACCAAGCAUUGAUUUUUCCAAACACCAAGAAGAGUUAGAGCAGCAAUUGAUGUAUUUUACAUGCAGAAGCCAAUGCAAGUUAAAGGCCACGCUUUCCAAACAAGACAUUUAAUUUCACUCUCAUUACACAGGUAGUCACCCCUAACGAGGAAUGAAAGAGAGCAUAAAGGCAGCACACAAACUGAGAACAGAUGACAACUACCUUUUGUGCUCACACGUACUCACAGGAGAAAUAUCCCUGGCUGCCAGCCACAAGAAGACAAGUAUUACUCCCAGGAGCUGUAAUGCCUCGAAGGUGGGUUUUGAAGUUCAACUUCUGAAAUUUGGAAGGAUUUGCUACUUGUUUUGGGAAUGUUGCAACAUUGGUUUGGCCAAAGCAUGACCUUGACUUUACUGAUUAUUGGGAAUACAAGGAAAAUGAAGCUAAAAAUGUUGAAAGCAAAUUUUAAAAGUGAUUCUCAGAAAAAACAGAAGAGAGAAAUAACACGGAGAAGUCAUUCCUUAGGAGGAUAACAGAGAUGACUCAG